rnacentral:piRNA from 1 species
AGUGCCUGAGGAUUCAGUGCCUGGUGAGGA